UACAGAGGUCUCAAGCGUUGUUCGGAUUCAUUGGGCGUCAAGGGUGUGUAGGUGGCGCCGUAAGUGGGGUGUGAAAUCUCGGGGCUUAACUCCGAAACUGCAUUCCAUACUGCGGUGCUUGAGGACUGGAGAGGAGACUGGAAUUCAUGGUGUAGCAGUGAAAUGCGUAGAGAUCAUGAGGAAGACCAGUGGCGAAGGCGGGUCUCUGGACAGUUCCUGACACUGAGACACGAAGGCCAGGGGAGCAAACGGG
rnacentral:rRNA from 1 species